UCUUCCCUCUUUCUUCAUGCCUAACACAUGCAAGUCGAUCGGUAAGGCUCUUCGGAGUACCCGAGAGGCGGACGGCUGCGUAACGCGUAGGAACACACCCUGCAGUGAGGGAUCAGACACCGAAAGGUGUUCUAAUACCGCAUACGGUCUUCGGAUUAAAGCAUUUAUGCGCUGAAGGAGUGGCCUGCGUCAUAUUAGAUAGUUGGUGAGGUAAUGGCUCACCAAGUCGAUGAUGUGUAGCUGGUCUGAGAGGAUGAUCAGCCAGACUGGAACUGAGACACGGUCCAGACUCCUACGGGAGGCAGCAGUGAGGAAUAUUUCACAAUGAGCGAAAGCUUGAUGGAGCAAUGCCGCGUGCAGGAUGAAGGCCCUAGGGUUGUAAACUGCUUUUAUAAGAGAAGAUUAUGACGGUAACUUAUGAAUAAGGGACGGCUAACUACGUG
rnacentral:rRNA from 1 species